AUGCCGAAAUUUUUAGUGAAAUUAGAAUUUGAGCAUAGUCAAUUCUUGUUGACCCGUGACUCAAAUACAUGCCUAAUGGAAAGUUUAACUUUCUAAUUGGUUAAUUAGACGAGAUGAGAGCGAAUAGAUCUGCUAAGAAAGUGGACUUUUCGAUGUGUUAAAUAUUUCUUUUAAUUGAAGCGCUGCUAAUUAUAACAUAAGGAUGUUAUAAUUAAUGAGUAAUGACGAGAGAUAAUAAUUGUUAUAUUGAUUAACAAUCAAGAGAGAUGAACAUUAGAGAUACUAAUGUUUCAUAAAAGAGAUUAGAUUAUUAAUCGAGGUUUCUUUUAUAACUUCUCACCAAUUCUUCAUAACGAUGAAGGUCCUUUUGGGAAGUAACGACUUGAGGGAGAGAGUGACGUUACUCAUUGAUACAGAGACACAACGAGGUUGAGCUGAUGUGAUGAUGGUGCUGCAAUGAGCGGAGUCUCCAGGGUUGUUAAUAAAUAGUUAACCUGUCUAGAAUAUGUCUUCAUACAUAUGUCUAGCUACUUUUCGCUGCAAGAUGUUGUUGAUGUUAUAGUAUGUUAUGUCAUACUUUGAGUCUUAAGAGAAUGGUUGCAUAUGAUGUAUAACUUGAUUAAUGAUAUUAAUUAACUUUUAUGCAGUCUUUCAUAGACUGUUUUCAAUUGAGUAUUAAUGAAUAAAAAUGACGAGUUUUAUUAA